CUCGGUGGUCUUAGCGAGAGGUGCUCCACCCGAUCCCAUUCCGAACUCGGCCGUGAAAACUCUCAGCGCUGAUGGUACUAUGUCUCAAGGCAUGGGAGAGUAAGUCGCCGCCGAGC
rnacentral:rRNA from 1 species